rnacentral:rRNA from 1 species
CGAAAGGAGUAAAUAAUUAAAAUAAUUUUAUAUA